rnacentral:rRNA from 1 species
AACGAACGCUGGCGGCAUGCCUAACACAUGCAAGUCGAACGCUCGGAGCAAUCCGGGAGUGGCGGACGGGUGAGUAACGCGUGGGAACCUGCCCUGGAGUGUGGGAUAACCGAGGGAAACUUCGGCUAAUACCGCAUACGACCUGAGGGUGAAAGAUUUAUCGCUCUAGGAGGGGCCCGCGUCGGAUUAGCUAGUUGGUGGGGUAACGGCUCACCAAGGCGACGAUCCGUAGCUGGUCUGAGAGGAUGAUCAGCCACACUGGGACUGAGA